UCUAAUGCCGAAGAAAGGAAGCCCGGGCAUAUCCACCUGCACCAUGUUCUGCACUUCCGUAGACAAUAUUUUAUGAUUUUAGCCAUUGCACGGUUGGUGUGUACUAGUAUUUGAGACUUUGCCUUGAUUUCAGCCGCUAUGAUGUUCUUCUAUUUUCUAUGUUUAAACCCCAGCGAGACGGUGCUAGGGCAGGCACUCCACGUCGACCAAAAUUACUUUUCAUUGCUUUUCACCGCUCGAUCUCAGAUUUAGGCCCCGUUGGGCAUAGCUUAUUUUUGUUUCAGCUUCACUUAUUUCACACAAAUCGAGAUACUGUAGCAGGAAUCCGUUUUAUAAGCUUAUGUGAAAAUGAACUAAAAGCCAGACCAAGCUAGUUUUUUUGUAAGCUUGAGCAGCUUUAGCUUCACUGGUGAAAUUGUUUUGGCAUAAGCUAGCUAAACGGGGCCUUACUGUGCUCCUGAUUCGGCGGGAGCUAGGGCCGUCUCCUGGAUAGUCUGGUCCAGGUGCCCGUGAAACAUUUGCCAUGAGGAAAUAUCUAGGCUUCUCCCUAGUUAAAUAAAUGUAAAAUUGAAUCCAUACCAUUAAAAGAACACAACUUUAGAUAUAUACCAUAAAAAGAACAAGUUACAGAUAUAUACCAUCAAAAAAUACAAUUCUACAGCUAUAUACCAUUUCGUCAGUUUCUGUUAGGUUAACCAUUAGUUUUAUUUUUUUUAGCCAGCACAUGUUGAGAAGUUACAAUUUUGCCCCUGCCUAUUAGAAACAAGGCAGCAACGGAGCGUUGCAUCCUAUCGCUCGAGCGGCGCCUCCCCCACGCAAGGGCCUCCCGGCGGCGCCUCCAGGAGCACGAGGUCCUCCCCGGCGGCGCCUCCAGGAGCACGAGGUCCUCCCCGGCGGCCCCUCCCCACGCGCAAGACCUCCCCGGCGGCGCCUCCCCCACGCGCGGCCACCCCGGCGCGCGGCCUCCCCCCACGCGCGCGGCCUCCCUGGCGUGUGCGGCCUCCCCGGCGGCGCGGCGAGGCCUCCCCGGUGACGUGCCUCCCCCUCCCACGCGCAAGGACCUCCUCAGCAAACUAGUGCUGAGUAACCGAUCCCAAAUUGAGCGGAAUGGAUCCUGCUAAAGUUCCUGAGGGGAUUGAUCCAAAGAGUGCAUGUAGAAUAGAAAUCACUGUUAAUUCUUACUUUACCAUGCGAGAUGGUAGAAAGGAGUACAAUCGGGGUAGGACAAUAAAUUGUGUUGUUGAUUCUGAAGAAUACUCAAUCAUUGAUCUUGAGAAAGAUGUUGCUAACAAAUUCAGAUGGGGCAGCGACCAACAAGCAAAUUUCUGGGUUCUUACAGGGGGUCAUGUGACCAGCAAAUUGGCUUCAGAUGCGCAGUUUCUUGACUUGUUAAGGGCAUCUAGAGUGGUGAAGUUGUUAAUGAUAGUGGGCAGGCAGGAGAACAAUGUAAGAGGGUGAGAUGCUUGCUGCAGUGAACAUGAGAGAGGAGCAUAUGACUGUUGCAAUGAAUAUGGAAGAGGAGGUGAUGCCAGCAGCAAAGGACAAUGCUUGGGAUGUACUAGAUGAAGGAUUUUCAUGGGCAUAAAUACCUGAAUAUGGGGAAACAACUGGAGGUCCACAAGUGGCUGAAGAGGAAGAGAAGGAGCACUUCAUCAUUGGGGGGGGGUGCGAUCCUAUUGGAAAUGAGCCUGGUGGAGUAGACGAAGAGUGGAGGUACUUUAAAAAUGUUGACCAUGUAGUCAUUAAUCAGCCUGAAAAUCAUGAAGUUGAUGUGCAAAAUAGAAAUAGGGCAAGGCCUAUUCCAGAAAUUAGAGACUUUGAUACAGAAGUUGUUCAAGAUGAUGAGGCUACUAUGCUUGAUGAUUUUAUUGUGCCUCACACAACACAUGAAGAGAAUCCAACCAUUAAGAAGGGUGACACAUUUGUGGACAAGAAUGAGUUUGUCCAGACUAUAAGACAAUAUGCCAUAAAAAAAAUGAGUUUGAGACUAGGAUUGAACAUAGUGAUAAAGAAAGGUACAGGGCAAGGUGUGCAGAUAAAGAUUGUGAUUGAAGAGUAUUUGCAAAGAAACUACAUGGUGGCAACACUUUCAUGGUGGUCAAAAUCUCAAAAUUGGAUGAACACACUUGUUCCAGUACAAGCAAGGUGAAGGGACGAGAGGCUUCCAUAGCUUGGAUAUCUCAAAAGGUGAAAGAUGUUGUAAAAGAGGAUCCUACUUUAGGUGCAACGAAGUUACAGAAAAGAUUGGAGAGACACUACAACAUUCAGUUGUCAUACUUUAAAGUGUGGUCUGGAAGGAAGUCUCCAAUGGAGGAUCUUCAUGGUACUUGGGAGGAGAGCUUUGAAAUGUUAUGUAGAUUCAAAGCGGCACUUGAAGAAUCAUGUCCAGGAAGCAUUGUUGAGAUUGAUUGCAAGAAGAUUAAUGGUAAAAUGCAUUUCUCCAGGAUGUUUGUAGCAAUUAGAGCAUGUGUUGAUGGAUUUCUAGCUGGGUGCAGACCUUACCUUGCGGUUGAUUCCACUCACCUAACUGGAAAAUAUAAAGGACAGUUAGCUACAACAACUUCAAUCGAUGGUCACAACUGGAUGUAUCCAGUUGCAUACGGGGUUUUUGGCAAAGAGACAAAUUCCAACUAGGCAUGGUUCAUGGCACAGCUGAAAAGAGCAGUUGGUACAUGAGUUGAAAAGAGGAUCACAGAGAAGCUUUACACAAGGCAUGAGAUAGCUAACAGAAUGGAAGGGUGUAUCCGGGCAAGUGUGUUACAUGAGUUGAACAUGAAGAGCCGAGGGCUGCAAUAUGGGAUCGUGAAAACAGGUGCAAUGACAGCUGACAUAUCAGGAAUAAUGAAAGAAGGGAAGAAUUGGAGAGUUCCUGUUGACAUUGAGCAAAGAACUUGUGGCUGUGGACAAUGGCAGGUUUAUGGAAAACCAUGCACUCAUGCAAUAGCUCUAUUUUGUCACCUUAAGAAGUUUAACAUUGAGAACUUUGUGGAUGACUACUAUUCUGUAGAGAGGUUCAAAUCAGCUUAUCAGUUUAUAGACACUCCGUUAGAUGACAAGACAUAUUGGCCAAAAUUUGACCCUGGGUUUAAAAUGAUUCCUCCAAAGCUAGAAAGACCUGCUGGUAGACCAAGGAAGAAAAGAAUCAAGGCUAGUGGUGAGGCUGGGAAAAGAGGACCAUAUCAGUGCAAAAGGUGCUUUCAGUUUGGACAUAUAGAGAAGGGUUGUACAGCUACUCAAGCUGAAUUAGAACAAGAGCUUCCCCCGCCAUGUCCAAAAAAACCAAAAAAGCAAAGGAAAUCUGAAUCUGAAGGUGUUGAAGCCUCUGUUCUUGAUGCUGAAUCAUCCCAAAAUGUUGCAGAUCCAAAACAGACUUCUAGUCCGGGUGUGAAAACAAGAAGCAUGUCUCUUUCUCCAACUAGCCCAGGUCCUACAACAAGGAGGAUGGCAUCCAUCUCACCUGGAGGAAUUAAUCGGAGGCUCAUUAUUAGCUAGACAUAUUACAUGUCCUCUAUUUUGUGUGUGAGCAUGGCUGUGCAAGUGUGGGGUCUUUUGUGUGUAAAUAUUUUGCCGCUGUGCAACACUAUGAUUGUGGUACUUCUGUUGUCAAAAUUGCAAGAACUCUAUGCUGCAAUUAGGUUACUGACAUGACAACAAGUUGUUAUAUAUGUGCUCAAAUGGAGAAUUAUAUCCUGCUGAAAUUAUGUCAUAUUAUAUGUGGCCAUAUUU